rnacentral:rRNA from 1 species
GACGAACGCUGGCGGCGCGCUUAACACAUGCAAGUCGAGCGAGAACCGGGUCUUCGGACCCGGGGAAAGCGGCGAACGGGUGAGUAACACGUGAGUAAUCCACCCUCGGCACCGGGAUAGCCCGGGGAAACCCGGAUUAAUACCGGAUGGCCCAACAGCCCUUCGGGGCGGUUGGAAAAGGUAGCUUCGGCCUCCGGCCGAGGACGAGCUCGCGGCGGAUUAGCUUGUUGGUGGGGUAAUGGCCUACCAAGGCGACGAUCCGUAGCUGGUCUGAGAGGACGAUCAGCCACACUGGGACUGAGACACGGCCCAGACUCCUACGGGAGGCAGCAGUGGGGAAUCUUGCGCAAUGGGCGAAAGCCUGACGCAGCGACGCCGCGUGAGGGAAGAAGGCUUUCGGGUUGUAAACCUCUUUCAGGAGGGACGAAGCUACUCGGGUUAAUAGCCCAGAGGGUGACGGUACCUCCAGAAGAAGCCCCGGCUAACUACGUGCCAGCAGCCGCCGUAAUAC